rnacentral:rRNA from 1 species
UACGAAGGGGACUAGCGUUGUUCGGAAUCACUGGGCGUAAAGCGCACGUAGGCGGAUUCGUAAGUCAGGGGUGAAAUCCCGGGGCUCAACCUCGGAACUGCCUUUGAUACUGCGGGUCUUGAGUCCGAUAGAGGUGGGUGGAAUUCCUAGUGUAGAGGUGAAAUUCGUAGAUAUUAGGAAGAACACCGGUGGCGAAGGCGGCCAACUGGAUCGGUACUGACGCUGAGGUGCGAAAGCGUGGGGAGCAAACAGG